UUUACAGCAAUUAUGAUGCAUUACUUUUUGCAUGAAAUUAGGACUGCAACAAAAUAGAUGGCGAUUGAUUUAGUCAUCGAUUCGUUGGAUGUAUGCAGUGCGCAUGCGCUGAGGCUCUUUUUUUUAUUUUCUUUUUUCCUUUCGUUCUUUCCUAAACUUUUAUUUAGGAACUGCAAAAUUUACAAAAAGCUGAGAAACAAUAAUCAAAAUAAGUACAAAAAAGUACAAAACAGCGCCAGGGCGGCGGCAGUAAGCCAGCCAAUGAUGUGGUAUGUCCAGCUCACGUGACCAAGCCGUGUUCUUUGUCUGGAAACAUUCGAAAAAUGGCGGAGGAAAACUGGAGCGAUAGUGUAAGUGCAUUGGAAAAAAGUGUACGACUUAAGUUGUCAAAAGUGUGGGAAUUCUUCACCCUAAACACUGCAAAGAAGACAGUUUCCUGCAAAAUGUGCAGCAUCGACCUGGCGUGGCACGGAAGUACGACAUCGCUUCUGGAGCACCUGAAGAGGAAGCAUGUUGAAUCCAUGGAUGAAGAAAAAAACUCACGAAAGAAACAACCCAGCAUUAGAGACUUGGUACAAAGGAAGGUGUGCAAGCGGCUGCACUGACUGAUAGUGUCCUAAAUAUGUUGGUAACUGACAUGAGGGCACUAUCAAUGGUGGAGGAUGACGGUUUCAGAAAAAUGAUUUACGUCCUCAACCCUGGUUACACUCCCCUCAAGGACCCAUUUUACCAAACAGAUGGAGAAAAAGUAUCAGCAGACAUUUCAAGCUAUGUAAACUGACAUUAAAGCCACCCAGAGCAAAAUUGUUCUGACCACUGAUGUGUGGACAAGUGUAGCCUACCUUGACAUUACAUUGGAGAGGAAUGGAACAUGAAGUCAAUCUGCCUUACGACCAUGCCACUAGAGGAAAGACAUUGAACAUCUAACAUUGCAGAAUGGUUGUAAUAGGUAGUAGGCAGGUUUGAAAUUCCCCUAAGCAAAAUUAUUGCUAUUGUGCAUGACAAUGGUGCACUUUAUAAAUAAAACAAACGUUUUUCUAACACUUGCCUUGUUAUUGUUAUGUUUGGCAAGUCAAAAGGACAUGGUGCCAGUAUCCGUUUUUUUAAAAUAAAGUAUUGGAAAAGAUAAAAA